UACGAAGGGAGCUAGCGUUGUUCGGAAUCACUGGGCGUAAAGCGCACGUAGGCGGAUUUGCCAGUCAGGGGUGAAAUCCCGGGGCUCAACCUCGGAACUGCCUUUGAUACAGCAAGUCUUGAGUUCGAGAGAGGUGGGUGGAAUUCCUAGUGUAGAGGUGAAAUUCGUAGAUGUUAGGAAGAACACCGGUGGCGAAGGCGGCCCACUGGCUCGACACUGACGCUGAGGUGCGAAAGCGUGGGGAGCAAACAGG
rnacentral:rRNA from 1 species